CCUACGGGUGGCAGCAGUGGGGGAUAUUGCACAAUGGGGGAAACCCUGAUGCAGCGACGCCGCGUGGGUGAAGAAGCGCCUCGGCGCGUAAAGCCCUGUCAGCAGGGAAGAAAAUGACGGUACCUGAAGAAGAAGCCCCGGCCAACUACGUGCCAGCAGCCGCGGUAAUACGAGGGGGGCAAGAGUUAUCCGGAUUUACUGGGUGUAACGGGGGCGCUGACGGCGAUGCAAGCCAGGGGGGAAAGCCCGGGGCCCAACCCCGGGACUGCUCUUGAAACUGCGUGGCUAGAGUGCAGGAGGGGCAGGAGGAAUGCCUGGUGUAGCGGUGAAAUGCGUAGAUAUCAGGAGGAAAACCGGUGGCGAAGGCGUCCUGCUGGACUGCAACUGACGUUGAGGCCCGAAAGCGUGGGGAGCAAACAGGAUUAGAUACCCCAGUAGUC
rnacentral:rRNA from 1 species